UAGUCGAGCGGUAGGCCUUUCGGGGUACACGAGCGGCGAACGGGUGAGUAACACGUGGGUGAUCUGCCCUGCACUCUGGGAUAAGCUUGGGAAACUGGGUCUAAUACCGGAUAUGACCGCAUGCCGCAUGGUGUGUGGUGGAAAGAUUUAUCGGUGCAGGAUGGGCCCGCGGCCUAUCAGCUUGUUGGUGGGGUAAUGGCCUACCAAGGCGACGACGGGUAGCCGACCUGAGAGGGUGACCGGCCACACUGGGACUGAGACACGGCCCAGACUCCUACGGGAGGCAGCAGUGGGGAAUAUUGCACAAUGGGCGGAAGCCUGAUGCAGCGACGCCGCGUGAGGGAUGAAGGCCUUCGGGUUGUAAACCUCUUUCAGCAGGGACGAAGCGUGAGUGACGGUACCUGCAGAAGAAGCACCGGCUAACUACGUGCCAGCAGCCGCGGUAAUACGUAGGGUGCGAGCGUUGUCCGGAAUUACUGGGCGUAAAGAGUUCGUAGGCGGUUUGUCGCGUCGUUUGUGAAAACCCGGGGCUCAACUUCGGGCUUGCAGGCGAUACGGGCAGACUUGAGUGUUUCAGGGGAGACUGGAAUUCCUGGUGUAGCGGUGAAAUGCGCAGAUAUCAGGAGGAACACCGGUGGCGAAGGCGGGUCUCUGGGAAACAACUGACGCUGAGGAACGAAAGCGUGGGUAGCAAACAGGAUUAGAUACCCUGGUAGUCCACGCCGUAACGGUGGGCGCUAGGUGUGGGUUCCUUCCACGGGAUCUGUGCCGUAGCUAA
rnacentral:rRNA from 1 species